rnacentral:rRNA from 1 species
UACGGAGGGUGCAAGCGUUAAUCGGAUUUACUGGGCGUAAAGCGCGCGUAGACGGCUUGUUAAGUCGGAUGUGAAAGCCCCGGGCUCAACCUGGGAACUGCACUCGAUGCUGGCGAGCUAGAGUACGAUAGAGGGUGGUAGAAUUCCUAGUGUAGCGGUGAAAUGCGUAGAUAUUAGGAGGAAUACCAGUGGCGAAGGCGGCCAUCUGGAUCGAUACUGACGCUGAAGUGCGAAAGCGUGGGGAGCAAACGGG